rnacentral:tRNA from 1 species
GGCCGUCCGAGGAGCCGGAGGACUCCCCGCCGCCCGUGUCGGCGGUGCGGCCGGUGUCCGUCUCGGGCUUCGGCGCCCGGGGCGGCCG